GAUGAUGAAGUAGGAAAUUGCUGGGUUUAUACAGCCAAACCCUUGAAGCUUAUGUUAAAUGGACCUCUAGGUAAAGCAAAAUAUUGCAGUCUGCUCCACUGGGUUUAAUAGCCCCUCAAAAGAAAACAAGGAGAACAAAGCAGGAGGAAAUGAGCAUGAUCUUUACAGUCAGGGUAUUUGGAAAAAGCGACAGAAAUCAGCCGCAGAGAGCACGGAGUCACCUCUGCACUUCGCAAGCCAGCCGCGGUCGGCCCCAUGCCGUUUCUUCUCUUCCUGCUGGCGGCGGAACUGGUGCUCUUGGGAGAAACGCUGAGUUCAGAAUCAAGUCCUGGUAAAUCUAACGCCGUCAAGUUGCAGUGAGCCAAAAACGAGACGCAAGGUGAAGGUGAAUGGAGAACCACGUAGAUAAAGACAAAGUUCAUGCUGCACGGGACCCAAUCGGCCUGAUACCACGCACAUUUUUCCCCCAAAGGGAAGUGGUCAUCAUGGGCCCAGCCUGCCGCAGUGCCCAACUCCAGAAGGAGCACAGACCAGAGAGCGUGGGCUUCAGAAUCAGAUGAGUUGGGGCCUGCGCGAUUUACGUGACCUCCCUCACGCCCGUGUGCCUGCCUACAAACUGGAAAUAAAAACACCCACCUUGUGAGAUGUUUCAUUGGCGCUUACGUUAAGCUUCCACUCCAUCUUCAUGUCUCUGGAAGGGCACGCAAGACACAGCCACAGCCGCUGCCUCUGGGGCGGGGAUUGGGCGCUGCGAGUUAGAACUGGGAAGAGCACUUUCUUACCACAUACCUUUAGCCUUGUGUGAAUUUUAACCACGUGCAACUGCUGUGUUUUCAAACAAUAAGAGCUACCAACAGAACAACACCACAGAUUUCUCUCCAGCAAACAGUUUGGGGGCAAUUAAGAGAACUAUCUUACCC
rnacentral:lncRNA from 1 species